rnacentral:lncRNA from 7 species
UUCUGUAUGGGAUAUGGGUGCCCUAUGGGUGCUGUAUGGGAUAUGGGUGCCCUACGGGUUCUCUAUGGGAUAUGGUUGCCCUAUGGCUGCCCUAUUGGGGCUCUAUGGGUGUCCUAUAGGAUAUGGGUUCCCUAUGGGUAUCACAGCCCCCUGACCGACCCCAAUCCCCCCCGCAGGCGCUGAGGCCAUGGCUGAGCCGUGCCCUAUGGGGUGUGGGUGCCCUAUGGGUGCCCUAUGGCUGCUCUAUGGGAUAUGGGUGCCCUAUGGGUACCCUAUGGGUACUCUAUGGGAUAUGGAUGUCCUAUGGGUGCCCUAUGGGAGCCCUAUGGGUGCCCUAUGGGUGCUGUAUGGGAUAUGGGUGCCCUAUGGGUGCCCUAUGGGUGCUGUAUGGGAUAUGGGUGCCCUAUGGGUGCCCUAUGGGUGCUGUAUGGGAUAUGGGAGCCCUAUGGGUGCCCUAUGGGUAUUCUAUGGGUGCCCUAUGGGUGCUGUAUGGGAUAUGGGAGCCCUAUGAAUGCUGUAUGGGUGCUCUAUGGGAUAUGGUGCCCUAUGGGUAUUCUAUGGGUGCCCUAUGGGUGCCCUAUGGGUGCUCUAUGGGAUAUGGGUGCCCUAUGGGUGCCCUAUGGGUGCCCUAUGGGUGCUGUAUGGGAUAUGGGUGCCCUAUGGGUGCCCUAUGGGUAUUCUAUGGGUGCCCUAUGGGUGCUGUAUGGGAUAUGGGAGCCCUAUGAAUGCUGUAUGGGUGCUCUAUGGGAUAUGGUUGCCCUAUGGGUGCCCUAUGGUUGCCCUAUGGGUGCUCUAUGGGAUAUGGGCGCCCUAUGGGUGCCCUAGGGGUGCUCUAUGGGAUAUGGGUGCCCUAUGGGUGCUGUAUGGGAUAUGGAUGCCCUAUGGGUGCCCUAUGGGUAUUCUAUGGGUGCCCUAUGGGUGCUGUAUGGGAUAUGGGAGCCCUAUGAAUGCUGUAUGGGUGCUCUAUGGGAUAUGGUUGCCCUAUGGGUGCCCUAUGGUUGCCCUAUGGGUGCUCUAUGGGAUAUGGGAGCCCUAUGGCUGCCCUAUGGGUGCUGUAUGGGAUAUGGGUGCCCUAUGGGAUCCCUAUGGGUAUCACAGCCCCCUGACCGACCCCAAUCCCCCCCGCAGGCGCUGAGCCAUGGCUGAGCCGUGCCCGGUUGACGUCGGUCCUCCCAGCGAUGGCGGCGAUGCCGUCGGAGGUCCCGGUGGCGCCGUGGGUGGUCCCGGUGACGCCGUGGGUGGUCCCGGUGGAGCCGUGGGUGGUCCCGGUGGCGCCGUGGGUGGUCCCGGUGGAGCCGUGGGUGGUCCCGGUGGAGCCGUGGGGGACACUCUGCCGUGGAGAAGGGGGAAACGCCACCCGCGGGCGCAGCGCGGCGCCGCCAUCAGCGGCAAUGGGAGCGUCCCCGACCCCGCCGAGAGGGCCGUCAUACGCAUCGCAGGUACUAUGGGGGGGGGAUGGGGGGGGAUGGGGGGGGGUAUAGGGGGGGGGGGAUGGGGGGGGGGGUGGGGGGGGGUUGGGGGGGGGGGUGAUGGUUGGGGGGGGUGGGGGCGCCGAUGGGGGGGGCGUGGACGGUGAUGGGGGGGGAUAUGGGGGGCGGGGGGGGUGAUGGGGGGGGAGGGGGGGUGGGGGCGCCGAUGGGGGGGGCGUGGACGGUGAUGGGGGGGAUAUGGGGAGGGGGGCGGUGGGGGGGGAGAGGGGGGCGAUGGG